rnacentral:pre_miRNA from 1 species
UUAACCCAUUUAACAUCUCAAACCAUCAAAUUAAAUGAGUUAUGGGUUGACCCAACCCAUUUAACAAAAUGAGUUGGGUCAACCCAUAACUCAUUUAUUCCUAAAUAUAGAGUUGGGUU